GUUUUCCAGGGCAUACAUCCACUUGUCUAGAUAGUUGCCUCCUUUUACAACAAACUACAUAAAAAGCACCAGCAAAGUCGGCACAAACUAAAACGUCACAUCAUGACUAAAGAUGACCUGCAACAUGCUGGGCACGUUACAGAGAUGGGAAAGACGAGGUCUCUGCUCACUGUCAGAGUACACAAACAGAGGGCAAUGGGAGAGAGACAAAAUAAAAUGUCAUCAGUGAGCAACAAGUGGGACACUCAUCACGGUGUCCUGCCAUUUUGUCUCUAGUUGGAGAAUUAGAUUGUCCCGUGUCUUCCCCUCUUGCUCCAAACUGCAGCUCAGACCCAUAACUGGUGUCAUAGCUGUCUGGGGUUUGUCGUUAUUCACAAGGAAACUAAGAACAACACAACGUACAUUGAAAAGCAAGAAAGUUUUGCUUCUGGGCAUCAGUUUUUCAGAGACUUAGUUGGGCUCUACCUUCCAGCAAUUUUAUUGUUUCAGUGAUGUGAUGUCUGCGCCUGCCUUUUCUCUGAGAUGCUGGAAAACUAAAAUUUUCAAACUUUUCUA